AUUUACAAAAUAAAGUAGAUAUGCUUUCACGAAAGAGGAUGAGCUAAACAGACAUAGUGUACCUAAUACGUGGUAUAGUAUUAUGAUAAUAUGUGUUUAGGGGUGAUAGGCCUACCAAGUCCUUUGAUAACUUGAUUCAUAUGAAAAGUAUUUAGUACAGGAACAAACUUAUAAAGUUAAGCUUUUAAGUAAUUAUAAAAAACAUUCUAUGUGCCUAAUGCAGUGUAAUAGCUAGUUAGUUUGUAACUAAACAUUAUUCGUGGGCAUUUUAUAGUAAAUAAUAUGAUGACUCGACUUGUUUUUCAGUUUAAAAAUGUUAAUAUUAGUAUUUAUAUAAAUAUGCUAAAGGAACUCGGCAACUAACCGCUCAACUGUUUAUCAAAAACAUAGCUAUGUGAAAUAAUAUAUAGUAAUUUCUGCUCCAUGAACAUUAAAUAGCCGCAGUACCCUGACUGUGCAAAGGUAGCAUAAUCAAUUGGCUUUUAAUUGAAGUCUGGUAUGAACGAAAAUAUGGGUGGUAACUGUCUUUAGUAUACUAGUUGGAACUUUAUAAGCAAGUGAAAAUGCUUGCAAGCUUAAAAAAGACGAGAAGACCCUAGAAACUUGAAUUAGUUUUUGUUGGGGCGACAGAAUUACAGAUAACUAAUUUUUAUGACACGACACUAGGUUGAAAGAAUAAGUUACUCUAGGGAUAACAGCAUAAUUUUAACAGUUUGUGACCUCGAUGUUGGACUAGGUAUUGUACCCUUUAGGCAAGGGUAUAGGAUGCUCUGUUCGAGCAGUUGUACCUACAUGAUCUGAGUUCAGACCG
rnacentral:rRNA from 1 species